rnacentral:ncRNA from 1 species
AAGGUUUGGUCCUGACCUUAAAAUCAGCUCUUACUUAACUUACACAUGCAAGUCUCCGCCUUCCUGUGAAAACGCCCUUAGACCCCUCAAAGGGGAAAGGAGCCGGUAUCAGGCACAUCUCUUAGCCCAAGACACCUAGCUAUGCCACACCCACAAGGGACCUCAGCAGUGAUUAACAUUAAACAUAAGCGACAGCUUGAUUCAGUUAAAGAAAAGAGAGCCGGCAAAUCUGGUGCCAGCCGCCGCGGUUACACCAUGUGGCUCAAGUUGAUUUUGUUCGGCGUAAAGCGUGGUUUAAGGGUUUAAUUAUGGUGUCAAAAAAGUACUAAGCCGUGACACGCUUGUACAUAAGAAGACCUAAAACGAAAGUUACACCAGUCACAUAAACUUGAACCCACGACAGCUAGGAAACAAACUGGGAUUAGAUACCCCACUAUGCCUAACCGUAAACUUUAACUUACACCCCGAUCGCCAGGGAACUACGAGCAAAGCUUAAAACCCAAAGGACUUGACGGUACCCCAAAUCCACCUAGAGGAGCCUGUCCUAUAAUCGAUAACCCCCGCUUAACCUCACCUCUUGUUGUCCAUCAGCCUGUAUACCUCCGUCGUCAGCUUACCUCGUGAGCGUCAUUAAGUGAGCCUAAUGCCCCCGCGUCAACACGUCAGGUCAAGGUGCAGCUAAUAAAGAGGGAAGAGAUGGGCUACACUCUCUACCUUAGAAAAAACAAAAGACUACAUAUGAAAUCCUAGUCAGAAGGCGGAUUUAGUAGUAAAAAGAAAACAGAGUGUUCUUUUUAACUUGGCCCUGGGGUGCGUACACACCGCCCGUCACCCUCUUCAAAAAACAAUUUUAGUGUUUUACUAAACCUCGCCCUUAGAAGAGGCAAGUCGUAAACAUGGUAAGUAUACCGGAAGGUGUGCUUGGAUU